AACGCGCACCUACUUAUUCUAUCGAAAUAAUUUUGCUUCCCGUUCGUUCAGUCUCAGUGUCAUGUGUGUUCUAGUAGAAUCUCAAAUUUUGAAGCAAGCCGGAAGGCCUGGAAUUCUAAACUUCUUCACAUACGAGGAAUUUUUGACUGAACUAAGUAACACAACUAGUUUUAUUUUCAUAUUCAAGCACCGUGACGGGAAGACUGGGGGCCGAGUGAUGUUGCAGCACGUGCGCCGAUAUCUGGUCUCGUAUUGAUCUGAUGAGACUCAAGACUGAAGCCUAGAGCAACGUGAUUCUGGUGAAAAAGUAAACCGUAUCUCUGAGACGGCUCACGGCCAGCCAGAGGUAAAGUGAGGCACAAGAUGUUGUGGAAGGACAGAUGCAGCUUCUACUUGGCUGUACAGAAGAAUGACCUUGAGGCAGCAGGUCAGCUGAUCAAACGUGGCCUUGAUGUUGACAUCCGCUACAAGGUUGGCUCGCUCAGUAAGCCCGUGCUGUCCAUCUGUGCACAGAGAGGUCACGUGCAAAUGGGUGAGUGCAU